rnacentral:rRNA from 1 species
AUUGAACGCUGGCGGCACGCCUAACACAUGCAAGUCGAGCGGCAGCGAGAUUAGUAGCAAUACUAAUUGUCGGCGAGCGGCGGACGGGUGAGUAAUACGUAAGAAUCUGCCCUCAAGCGGGGGAUAACUAAUGGAAACGUUAGCUAAUACCGCAUAAUCUCGAGAGAGAAAAGGUGCCCGUAAGGGUGUCACUUGAGGAGGAGCCUGCGGCUGAUUAGCUAGUUGGUGGGGUAGGAGCCUACCAAGGCGAUGACCAGUAACUGGUCUGAGAGGACGACCAGUCACACUGGGACUGAGACACGGCCCAGACUCCUACGGGAGGCAGCAGUGGGGAAUAUUGGACAAUGGGGGAAACCCUGAUCCAGCGAUGCCGCGUGAGUGAAGAAGGCCUUCGGGUCGUAAAGCUCUUUAGGUUGGGAAGAAGAAUGUAGGUUGAAUACACCUAUGUUUUGACGGUACCAACAGAAUAAGCACCGGCAAACUCUGUGCCAGCCGCCGCAGUAA